GAUAUCUGUGGUAAUUACUAGAGCUAAUACAUGCCGACGGAGCCCCGAACGGUCGCGCGAGUUCGCUCUGCGCGUACGGGAGGGGCGCUUUUAUUAGAUCAAAACCGGCCAGGCGACGUUUACGCGUCGUCAGUGGCCCGCGCAUAGAUUUGGCGAUUCUGAAUAACUUUGAGCUGAUCGCACGGUCCUCGUACCGGCGACGUAUCUUUCAAAUGUCUGCCUUAUCAACUGUCGACGGUAGGUUCGACGCCUACCGUGGUGGUAACGGGUAACGGGGAAUCAGGGUUCGAUUCCGGAGAGGGAGCCUGAGAAACGGCUACCACAUCC
rnacentral:rRNA from 1 species